GAUGAACGCUAGCGGCAGGCUUAAUACAUGCAAGUCGUGGGGCAGCAUGAGUAGCAAUACUUGAUGGCGACCGGCAAACGGGUGCGGAACACGUACACAACCUUCCUUCAAGCGGGGAAUAGCCCAGAGAAAUUUGGAUUAAUACCCCAUAAAAUAUAAAAAUGGCAUCAUUUAUAUAUUAAAGCUUCGGCACUUGAUGAUGGGUGUGCGGCUGAUUAGAUAGUUGGCGAGGUAACGGCUCACCAAGUCUACGAUCAGUAGCUGAUGUGAGAGCAUGAUCAGCCACACGGGCACUUGAGGACACGGGCCCAUCCUACGGGAGCAGCAGUAAGGAAUAUUGGACAAGUGACGAAAGUCUGAUCCAGCCAUGCCGCGUG
rnacentral:rRNA from 1 species